AGCAGCCGCGGUAAUUCCAGCUCCAAUAGCGUAUAUUAAAGUUGUUGCAGUUAAAAAGCUCGUAGUUGAAUUUCGGGGUCAAAGGAUCGGUCAUGCCUUGGUAUGUACUGGUUUUAUUGGUUCUCACCUUCUAAAGAACCAUAAUGUCAUUCAUUUGAUGUUAUGGGGAAUUAGGACUGUUACCUUGAAAAAUUAGAGUAGUUUAAAGCAGGCUUACGCUUGAAUACAUUAGCAUGGAAUAAUGAAAUAGGACAUUCAGAUUCAUUUUGUUGGUUUCUAGGAUCGAUGUAAUGAUUAAUAGGGAUAGUUGGGGGCAUUAGUAUUCAAUUGUCAGAGGUGAAAUUCUUGGAUUUAUUGAAAGACUAACUUCUGCGAAAGCAUUUGCCAAGGAUGUUUUCAUUAAUCAAGAACGAAAGUUAGGGGAUCGAAGACGAUCAGAUACCGUCGUAGUCUUAACCAUAAACUAUGCCGACUAGGGAUCGGACGAUGUUAAUUUUUAAUGUACUCGUUCGCGCCUUAA
rnacentral:rRNA from 1 species